rnacentral:rRNA from 1 species
CUGUGUGAAAUUGUUAUC